rfam:Triticum urartu cultivar G1812 contig1451940, whole genome shotgun sequence.
CACGUACUUCCUUCGUCCGAAAAUACAUGUUAUCAAGAUGAAUAAAAAAGGAUAUAUUUAAAUGUAUUUUAGUUCUAAAUAUAUUUAUUUUGAUGACAAUUAUUUUCAAACCGAGGGAGUACUCC